CCACAAACUCAGUGAAACUGGCUGCUGACCAGCCCAUUUAGACCUGACAUGUUUGAUUUGUGAUUCAUUGCCUCUGUUUAGGAAUUUUAGCUUUCGUUUCAGUGAAUGUUUCCACUUGGAUUAUCUAAUGUGAAAUGUGUUCAGAGAAUAACAUCACUGUCGGCUAUGGAUGUGUGUACACAGAUUCAGAUGAAGUCUUCUGUCAGUCAAGAGCUCUUUUGAUCAUCGACGCCUCCUCAAACUCCCACAGCUACACACAGAGCUGUGGAUGUGCUGAUAUUAUCACCCUGGCAACAUCACGAGCCACUGAGGACUAAAACAAAAGAUCUGCUUGAAGACGCUGGUCUCUGUGAAAGUCAGUGCUGGCGCCCUUCGUCGUAUGGUAAUCGUCCUUGCUUGCAGAAAGGAGGGAUGGCGGCCAAACAGGACUGGAUUUGAUCUGCGUCCAGGUCUCUACUGAUAACCCCAUCGAUCUUACUUGAUUUAGCAAAAAAUGGCCUCACUAAUGACACCAGAGGGGGUGGCAAAUUCACUACCUUGACAGAUGUCCAAAUCACUGGUAAACAACAGAAAACGGGUGAAAAGAAAUAAAUGACCAUUUCAAAUCGGCAGGGAGGUUGAAAAUGUCUGAAGACAUGCCAGGAAAGGAAGUAGAGCUUUGAUUGGAGCUGGAAACGGGGAAUACAGGUUCAUAUUUUUCUUUUGAGGAAAGAUGUCGCCUCAAUGAGCCAAUGAAGAUUAGAGGUACGUCUGAGGAGCGUUCAGUCUUUAAAUUAUUUUUAUGUCACUGUGCACCUGUCAGAUACUAUUAUACUAUAUAUGUUCAUCCAUUGUGUGAUGAGAAUUCAGAUUCUGCCCACAAUAUAUUAACUCAUAAUAUAAUAUAAAUAUAUAUAUAAAUAUAAUAUAUAAUCUAAUAAUAUAAUAUAAUAUAAUACAUCUACAGGUGGGCAGAAUCUUAAUCUCAGUAACUUGGACUUUUAGACUAGAUAAAAAUGGAGGAAAUAACGUGCACAAUUCGAAUGCUUUAAAGAUGUUGACAUUUUGCAUGACAUUUCCUAUACAUAAGCGCAAUUCAAAAUUAAUUAGAUUACUCACUGUAUAAGUCGCCUGGAAUGGUGAUGACAUUAUAAUUUGUAGCUGUAAAAGCCAUUUUAAUAGCACUAGAACAUAAGCAGGCAUAUUUUUAAAAGACUCUCCAGAAGUAAUUCAUUAGUCUUAUCCUGCAUUUGAAGAGGGUUCAUUGUCAAAACGGCCACUUGUGUUUGGCUCUUCUGGUUCUCCUGUGAACUGUUUUAAUCCCCACAGUGCCUUUCAGCCAGCGUACACUUAUCAUAUUUGUCCAGCACAGGGGCCAGUUUCAUAAAGCUGAUUUACUGGCUCUGGACCGGCUCCGAGGAAUUGAGCUUUGCUGAAAAGUGGCACUAACUGUCUACAGCUGUUUUAGACGACACUCACUUAAUGUUGCUUUGGCCUCUGUUUAGCCUUUUGAUAUUGGUGAUUAUAAUUGUGGAUAUCAAUUCGUUAAGCGUCUUCUUUGAAGGUAAACUGUUAUAGUGCAGGGUGUCCAAUAGAAAUUCUUUAUGUGUGUGAUAUUCAUAUAAGGUAGCCAACGUUUAAAACAUAAUUAUGUGCACAGAUCAGUUGAAUGAUAAAGUUUACCCUCUUUAACUUUAUGCUGUUUUGUGUCCAUCUGCUUCUCUCAUUUGCUCUUUGUACAUUUAUUGUCACUCUAUAGAGACUAAUAUAACAAUUUCACAAAUGUUUAUUACAAUAUAUACUGACAGUUACAUUAAGUUCAAGGGUAUGAGAUGAAUGGAUGCUUUCAGCUGAUUUUUUAGAUCGGAACUUUGGAGCACAGAUCGCAGAUCAUUUGAUUUAGAACAUGACCUCGAUGUGGGUUUGCGAAUCAUUAGAUUCAGAGAAUGUGACUUCAGAGUGCAUGUCGGGAAUCAUUUUAAUCAGGUCGUGACGGAGUGCAUAUCACGAAACUUUUUUUUUUCUGAUUUCAUUUUUUUUUUAAACACUAUAAAACAUCAAAUCAUUGAGGCAGUAAAGAGAGAGAAAGAAAGAAAGAAUACACAAAUGCAAAUCCUUUGCAGUUGUCACUCUAUAUGUCCCAAUAAUAUGUCUGAUAAUAAGUUUUAUAAUCAAAGCUUUGCAGUUUCAAAACAUUUAAUGCAAUGCAAUACAAUGGUGAUUGAAAGAUGAACAAAUACACUUCAAAAUCCUGAUGACCAUAUUUGAAACUCCCAUUUCAACAUUAUUUUUUCUAAAAAAUGAUGUAUGGAUAAUCAGUAAACCUACUUCA